CCUACGGGAGGCAGCAGUAGGGAAUCUUGCACAAUGGGGGAAACCCUGAUGGAGCAACGCCGCGUGAGUGAAGAAGGGUUUCGGAUCGUAAAGUUCUGUUGUUGGAGAAGAAAGUGCGCGAGAGUAACUGAUAACGCAGUGACGGUAUCCAACCAGCAAGCCACGGCAAACUAAGUGCCAGCAGCCGCGGUAAUACGUAGGGGGCAAGCGUUAUCCGGAUUUAUUGGGCGUAAAGCGUGCGCAGGCGGUUGCUUAAGUCUGAUGUGAAAGCCUUCGGCUUAACCGAAGAAGUGCAUCGGAAACCGGGCAACUUGAGUACAGAAGAGGACAGUGGAACUCCAUGUGUAGCGGUGAAAUGCGUAGAUAUAAGGAGGAACACCAGUGGCGAAGGCGACUGUCUGGUCUGUAACUGACGCUGAGGCUCGAAAGCAUGGGUAGCAAACAGGAUUAGAUACCCGAGUAGUC
rnacentral:rRNA from 1 species